ACUCAUCUCAGUGUUGCCUGGACUGUCCACAUCCCCUUCAGGGACUGGGGUCAAGCCUCCUUGGCUGAGAUAUGGCCAUGGUCCAGAGGUGGUGCUUUCUCUCUGCAAAGGGGCCACUCUCAGCCCUGCGCAGUCAUGGUCGGACUUGCUUGUAGUUCUCUUGAGGCACUUCCCUAUGAGGAGGGGAGGGGAGGGGGAGGCAAAGGAGGACGGAGAAGAGGGAGAAAUGGGCAAGGAGGAGAUGGCGGAGCUGGUGGUGGCUCUGGCGCUGACAGCGGCGGUGCUGGUGGUUUUGGCGUUGACGGAGGCAGUGGCAGUGUGGUCGGCCUCUCUUUCCUGCUGGCUGAGUGUCCAGAUCCUCUGCUCCAGCGAAGCCAAAUGUGCUGCCCCAGGAUUCCUCGUGGGCUCAGGUCCGAAGCUCCCUAGCACUUGUCCCCUCUGUCCCCAUUUGGCUCCAGCCAUAUACUGCUGGUCAAUGGUCUGACCUUCCUGAGCUGAGCCACGGGGGUGCAGGGGGUGCCUCCCUGCCAGAGGGCAGGGACUGCAACUCAGGAGCUACUUUUUCGGGCCCUUGAGACCUGCUCAGAAGCCAACUGGUGGGAUGAAUGUUGGCCCUGGGUCACAGCCCGGCUGGACCGCAUGGCAGUCCACUCACCAUCGGUUUAAGCAUUAUGACUGUUCUACCAGGCCCCCUGCCAGGGCCCUGGGGAUGUGUGAGAAAUGGGAGGAAGAAUCACAGGCCUGGAGCGGCACCUCCGGGGCUCCAGGGACCUGCACAGACUUCCUCCAUCUCCUGUCUACAUGCCUUUCUGGAAAGAAACCUGGCAUCCUAAAACCAGCAGAAGAACGGGACCAGCCCAGGUUAGUUCAUCCCAACAUGCAUCUGCCUCAGGAGCCCAGCAGGCCAGCUUUGCUUCUGGGCCUCCCAUCGCCCCCGAGUGCCCGACAGGCAGGGGACAGGUGGCUUCCUGGGACCCGAGCUGGCUCCCCCACCCUCCCAUCACACGGGCCCAAGGUGACGGGAAGCCCCCAGCCAGACAGCAUCCCGACAUUCACCCCUCCUCAGAUUAGUAGCACAUCCAUCGCUGUUUUUGUUAAGACAAGAAACAUUUAUUGAGAGCACAAUGGGCCGUGCCAAGCCCCGCCCCCGCCACCGGGGGAGGGUGCUUUCCGACCCUGGCACAGGCUCCUCACAACAGCCCUGUGAGGUAGGUGUCUGAGCCCAUUUCUCAGAUGUGGACAGCAAGGCCCAGCGCUCCCCCAAGUCUCAGGGUUCAUGAGGGGCGGGGAGGGGGUCCGGCCCGCGUGUCUGACACUCAGAUCAGUGAAGUCCAUCAGUCAGAGGGAGAGGAGGCAGGGAGGACACGCCCCUCUGCACAAGGGGGUCGGCCCCGGUCCAGAGUCUUUAGGUCCAGCCUGUCCCGUGGGAAGGUGUGCAGGCGUCCCCUGUGGCUGUGGAGGCUGAGAGAGACAGGCGCAGAUGAAGGCCAUCACUCCCGGGCUCACAGGCCGACAAGAGUUCUUAAGCACACAGGCAGACAGGAGGCGAGGGGCAGACACAUUGAGGAGAAGGGAUGCUCGGGGCCUGGACCACACAGGGACAGGGGAGCACCCAGCCACAAGCUCUUGCCCUCCACCUGGCACCCUUCACAUCACCCCUUCCCUGGUCUCCUCCUCCUGUAAGUUCCAGAAGCAUCACAUGCUCCUGCACCAGUAACUCCAAUGGUCCUCACCUAACCAACCAAAAUCUAGAUCUCUUGGCCUUGGGAGAAACCACCCCAGCUCUCCUGUCCAAGCCGUUACCAAUUAGACCAGGGCAUUUUCUAAACUACCAGCUUCCUCCCCAUCUGAAAGAGGAAGUGUCAGUCACUCAGUCGUGUCUGACUCUUUGCAAACUCAUGGACUGUAGCUUGCCAGGUUCCUCUGUCCAUAGGAUUCUCCAGGCAAGAAUACUGGAGUGGAUUGCCACGCUCUUCUCCAGGGGAUCUUCCCGACCCAGGGAUCAAGCCCGGUUCUCCUGCAUUGCAGGCAGAUUCAUUACCAUCUGAGACCCCUGGGAACCUACUCCUCCUUUGGGGGUUUCUGAAAAUUCUCCCUGAUUCUGCCUACCUGGACCUCAAUCCCCUCCCCUCUGAACCUGUUACAUCUCUCCAUUGAAGAGCAAAGCUUCCUGUCCCUCACUGCGUCCCCUAGGCUGGCCGGUGCUCCCCUGACACCCUCCACCCCGCCCGGCAGUUUCUGGGGCCACCAUAGUUCCAGAAAGCACAGGGUUUCUGUGAUCAGGACCCACAGGCGGCAGGGCGCUGUGGCCAACCUCAAACCGGAGGCCAGGUAACAAAGCACUGAUUUUCACAUAAACAACCUCCUCGAACCCGACAAUAACCACGCCAGGCAGACGUGACUAUUUUCAGAUUACAGGUGAACAAACCCAUCCAGGCCACACACACAUAGGUGCUUAGAUAGCUUUGAAUGUCAGACCUUGAUUCUUGGGACCAGUGUACGGGGCCCAUCGAGACAGGUUAGCCAGCAGCCCCUGAGCAGACACUGCCGUUAUGUACCCAUUCUACAGAGACGGGACCAGGCUUGGGGUGGUUCAAGUAACCCCUCAGGGCCACUGCACUGGCAAAUGGUGCUGCCACCACCAGAACUCCAGAGGGUAAGAUGACCAUGCCCCCCGAGCCCCAGUGUGGGGAGACAAGAGAGAAUGGAAGAAAGGAAUCAAGGUCUAGGAUCCAAUCCCCACUCAUUUGCUGGGUGACCAGGCGGCAUCUCAGACCAGGCAUGUACCUUACAGGCGAAGGCGGAUGGUCACCAAUGGUAAGGAUAAAGACUUCUCAGGUCAAAGACCUCCCCUCCCCCAGAGUGAGGGCUCCUGAGACCCAGAGUGGGCAAGGGCGUGGCCAGAACACCUCUGCCACCGGGGACCUGCCAAACGCCACAUUAGCAACGCCGCCUGGACCACCUUCUGCGUAACACAAGGAACCGAAUUCAAUACUCUGUGAUAACAUAUAGGGGGAAAGAAUAUGAAAACAGACUAUAUAUGUAACACCAAGUCACGUGGCUGUACAGAAGAAAAUAACACAGUAUCAACCAUGUGCCAACAACAUUUUUUAAAAAUCACUUGGACCACAACACAUAGGAGUACAUUUUUUUAGCCCAAAUAAAGUUUUAUUCUAGAUAUAAACAUUUCCAGAAACAGUCACAAGACAGCUAUUUGCAUCCAGAAGUUUCCCCAGGGUGAGCCCCCACUUCAGACAGAGACCCUCAGGGUCUGCCCUGGAGAGUCUUUGCCAAGGAACACCCUCUUUCCUCUUACAGAUGCAUGCAUAGUCAAUGUGUCCAUCGGCCAACAAUCAAUUCAGCUUUUCACAUCCACUAAAACCCCGCUUGCCCAUCAGUGACCAUCUAUUAAGCGCCUACUACACAGGCAGCAGGACCAUCAGGGUCAGAGAAGCCUAAGUUUCAGAGUCAGGGACAGGGGUCUGAGAACCCUGACCCUGACUCGAAACCCUAACCCUCACUGAGAACCCUGACUCUGAAUUGAAACCCUAACCCUCACUGAGCCUCAGCUUUCUCCCCGCCCUCUGGAGACGGGGACCCAGGCCUGCCCUGCUCAGGAGGACAAGGCCCUGAAAACACUCCUCACCCCUGGGCACACAGGCCUGAGGACUGUCCAGGAGCAGACACCUACACACAGACUCACAGUCCCCUGGGAGGAGGGCCCUAGCCACCUGUCUCUACGUGGGGAUCCCCUCGGGAGCUUCCAAAAAGUUCUCAAGGACACAGGGUGGCCACGUGUGGACACAGCCCACUGAGGCUGUGAAAGCCAGAGGCCAAAUGAGGGGGCCAGGGAGGUUUCUGCAGGGGGAGGGGCCAGAGGAGACCCCCGACUCCAGCCCACCUGGAAUGGAAUCUGGGGGUGUUCUGCAGAACCCUGCUGUCCGCAUGUGAGACAAGGGCCAAGAAAGGAAUUCCAUGGACUUGUGGAGACCCCUGGAUCCACAAUGACACCAAGGGGAGGUCUCCUGAGCAGGAAGAGGGGCAAUAUCUAAUUCGGCCAAGUUUCCAGGUCCCACUGAAGCUCCACGGGGGCACUGCUAGGCACGUGGUGGGGACAGGGACACAUUGGGGCACAUUUGGGCUGGCAGAGACCAGCCGCGGAACCGGGAGGGUUUGCUUUGACUGAGUUUGGGAGAGCACCCUCUGGCUUUUCAUGGAAGACUGUUCAAUCCUGGCUUGGACACAACUCGCUGGUCUGUUAAAUGGGCCCGCAUGCCAAUUGAGCAGGAGCCUUUCCCCUAAAGGGCAGAAGAGGGCGUUUUAGUCCCUAAGAUGUUACCCAGAAACCCCUCGUUGGGCUCUGUCUACACUGUCCUUGCUCCUCCCCACUAACAAAUACCCUCGGGGGACUCACAAAAGUCACUCCACAGACCUGGCAGGAACAGUCACCUGCGCGUGACAAACAGCCAUCCAGGGUGGGAGGGCGGGCAGAGGAAAGGAGCCUCUGAGGAAGGAGAGGAGCCAUCACUCAUUAACUGAGCCAAUAUUUACUCUGGACCUGCAUCACUGAACACUCUCAGGCCACUUGACCUCUGUCUCACAUGUCCCAGUGACUGUCGGAAAUACAAUCUUAUUAUAAGGUCAAGACCAACUUUUUAUUCAUUUAGAACUAGCAAAAGCUUCCCUGCUCCCUUCCAGACAGCACCCAACACAUGAUCACUUUCAGUGACAGCCAGCAUUUAAUGAACGCUGUUAGAGUUCACCCAACCUGAGCUCUCACAACAACCCUGUGAGGUAAGCUUUCCGGUGACCCACGGCUUAGAAAAAAGGAGACCAAAAGAAGACCGACGGUCAGAGCGCAGUGCCUUGACCGACGGUGCACGGUUAGUUACACGUUAGCCAGAUUCUCAUUUCUAACACAGAACAUCGACUCGUUCAUUGGACAGCGGAAGUGCCACCAAGUGACAUCUGAAACCAGAGUCCUGGUUUUCGAACAACAUAUAUCAUACAAAGGUCCGUAAGAUACAGUUAACUGGUUAACAGGUUAAUCAGGAGCGGAGGACAGUCUCUUAGUCAAGGUUACAAACGAUCGCUGCUUACACUGGGUUACAGUUGUGUUAUUCGACCAUCUACUCAUCCAUCCUUCCGACAGGAAUGGAAGGUGACCCCUACCACUGGCCUGGUACUGUGUUAGGCACCCAGGCGGCUGAAAUUUGAGCCCAAAUGUCGAGAAGGGGAAGAGGGGACAUUGGGCGGUGGGGGGUGGGGAGGAUACUGCUGGGAGGGGUCUCUUAUGGAGGGUAAGUGCCGCCCACAGGCCAGACACAGUGGUAGGCAAGAUACAACCUAUUCCAGAGGUGGGUGUGAACGCGUACCCCAGGGGUCCAGGACAGUGCCCAGAGCGAUCCCCAUUCCCCAGCCUAACCCUAACCCCCAAAUUACUCCUACCUACCUUUCGAAUGCCAUACGAAUUCAGCAUUCGGUCCCAUAAUACCCACUGUGUGCUUGCUAGAAAGAUUGCCCACUAAGCUGCCCCAAUCAGGCUGCCCCUCAUGGCCGGUCACCCCACCACCCGCCGCCUACUCCCGGGGGCACGCGCACCACCCUACAGGAUCACAGUUCAAAACCCUGGUUACAGCAGAUCCUCACAACAGCCCUGCGAGGUGGGUGCCAUGCUCUGCCCAGCAGGCAGAACUUGGCUGUGCCCAUGAGUUUAAACCACAUGCUUGUCCAGCUCCAGGGUCCUGGCUUUGUCCAUUAUACCUACUGUCUAAGGCAGUAAGUCAAACGCAGAAUUCCCAGGAGAGCCCCCGAGAUCUAAGGUGGGAAGCCCUGCCUGGCUGGGAACCUGGAUCGCGGAUGCAUCCCGGGUUUGCCAAGUGCCAGGCGGCCUGGAUGCCCAGUUGUCCCAACAGAUUGUUCUAUGCAGACCUCACAGGGGGGUAUGACCCUCACCAUCCAAACCAGCAAUUAUCUCCCCCAAUUUUCUCUCAAUAGAGCCCAGAAUGAACCAAUCUCCAAGGGACAGGAAGGACUCUGAAACUCGCCCUUUGUGCAAGAUGAGGGUGUCCUAAUGACUCGAAAUCCUGCUCAUGGCCAGAAUCGGCUGUUUGUCUCAGACUCCCCCCCCACUCCAGCUAUCAUUCUGGCCUCUUGAGACUCUGGGCUAUGAUUUCUGAGCACCCAGGGAACACAGCUUGCUGAUUACUAAUCAACCCACUUUGCGGAGGAACGAAGUUGGAGAGGGCAAUCAAAAUUUCGACAGAACUCUGGCAGAGGGGUGGGCACGCCGAAUCAAGGAUCCCGCCUUGUGGCUAGCCCCCAGCAAACACGCUCAUCUUUUCUUUCGAGAGGGGGUGUCAGAAUGCAACCUUGUGACCCAGCUCUAGUAUAGCACCAGCUGACCUUUUCAAAUGUUUGCGGGCUGGGAGUGGAGUGAAUGGAGGGAUGGAAGGAUGAGUUACAACCGCUGUCAUCUGGUAGAGGAAGCGGAGAGGCUGAGGGCAAAGCUCAUGGCAGGGACCAUGCACCAGGCAAGGUGGCCUGGGGGUGGGGGGCACAUCUCCACUCACGGGUGGGGACGGGGGACACCCUGGGCCCCUGGGCCCUGGAUCCCUCGCAGUGUGUGAUGCAUGGGAACGCGCCAUGGGGAAGGAAGCCGUGUGGGUGAUGUGGCAGAUGACAUCCAGCUGGGACAUGCUCAGAGCAGUGACCCCGGAGGAAGAAGCCACAAGUAAGGGCGUUCACUUCAUAACCACAGCCCAUGGCGCUACACAGCCUGCCCACAAGGAAAAGGUUUGCUUUCAGGAAAGGGAAAGGCCAAAGCACCAGGUCAAGAGGCCAAAUGCAAUGGAUGGACGGAUGGAUGGAUGGAUGGAUGGAUGGAUCCAAGUAAUGUUGGGAAUCGUCACUGGCCUCCCAAACAUGUGGGUGAGAAAUUCUGACACAGGCAAACAGCGCUCAGUGCUAUAGUAGACGGUCUAUAGUAUAGUAGACGGGUCUUCCCUCGACUGCAAGCAGAAGGUAUUCUGGAAAGCAGGGCCGAGCCUUCUUGGGUCACAUGCCCUUCCCGAAUGGCCAUGAUGACUUCUGAGACCUGGCUACCCCUGGGGUGAACCAUGAGGGAAGCCCAAGGAGAAUAUGGGGCCCAUUCUACUCCUUGGCUUGUGGAAUUGAGUUGCCCCAUUUCUGAAGGCAGAUUCACUAUCUGACCUAAUCUGACAUAUUUAAUUAAACCCCAAAGACCACCAUGGAGGCCAACGGGACAGUGGCUCACACAUCAGAGGGCACUAGGAACAUGAAGGGCAGCAGACUGCCUCAGCUGAUUGCCCUGAGAGGUGGCAAGUGGUGAUCCAAGGGGUUGUCUUCCUCAAAGUGAAAUGGGGGUGGGGGGUGGAGGCAGGAAGGCCACCAUGUGACUAUUCAAGAUGGCGGCACAGUUGUCUGGACCUUGGAGGGUCAAAGAGAUUCCUGUACCACAAGAGUUACAGAGGGUGAUUUGAGAGUUUAUAAAUCAUAAAUGCACAAACCCACCCAGGAGAAGACACCUUAAAUGUCACUGGGCUGCCAAAGGGAGAAUAUCAUCCCAAUGCACAUUUUCCAGGAAGAGUCAAAGAGACCUGAAGCGUCAUCUAGGCCAACCCCACUCCUACUGAUUGAAUCUCCUUGAAGCUACCCUCAUCGAGUAUCUGUCUGUCCUGUCCCUUGAAUGACUCCAGGGAUGAAGGGCUCACUACAUCCCAAGGACCCUCAUUCCAUCCUUGGCCAGUCUUAUCACAAAGCCAUGAUCCAGCGGACUUGGACAAACAGUUCACAGAAGAUGCAAUUUUUUUUAACAAACACAGUAAAAAGUUCAACCGUCAUUCGUCAUCAAAGCAGUGCAAGUUAAAAUGACAGAAAAACACUUUUUAACAGAGAUAAAUUAGAAACAACUUAACAAAAUGCUAAUACAUCACUGGACAUCAUAAAAUGCUACAAGCCUUCUGAAAUUAGUAGUCAUACAAAAAUUCCUGGCCUUUUCUCAAGAAACUCAACACAGAAAAUUCAUUUGUUCAUUCACCACUCCAUGUACUCAUCCAUUCUCCCAUCCUCUCUUCCAACAGCCAACCAGGCACUCACUCACAUCUUCAUCCACCCUUCUAUCCUCUCAUCUAACAUUUAGUAUCUACAACAUUACAAGCAUUAGAGAUACAAGCUCUUUGCCCUCAAGGGUUCACAGCCUAGCAGGAGAAAUUGACAUACCACAAAGCAAAGAUCACUUCUAGGUGUGGGAAAAUAAUUCAUAAGAAUGAAAAAAAGGGGGGUGUGCUAAGUUAUUAGCUGUGGCAUAAUUUGUAACAUUAAAAAAGAUGAAUUUUGCAUAGCAAGAGUAAUAAUAGUAGGUUGAUGUGGUGAAUGACUGACACAGCCACUCAAUGAGACACAAGGCAGCCAGGGAGGUGAUGAAGUGUAUGGACGAAAGAAAAAUGUUGACAGCGGAAUAUGGAAAAGGUGGGAUGCAAAAAUUAAAAAAAAAAAAAAAGUGUAUGUGGUGAAGAAUAGCAACUGGGUUUAAAAAAAUGGGUGCUCGUUUUAAAAAAUUAGAUGUCCAUUAAAAAAAUAGUGUGCAGAAUAAACAGAAUCUGAAGGGGAGAAAUAAAGAUGAUUGAUAUGUCAAAUGAUGCGUGAUCUGCUCCAGCUCAUGUGCUAUCCACACCAUUUACAGUAAGAUCACAACAGGGCCUCUGGCCCAUCUGCCCCAGACGCCCAGCCUCUGCCCUCCAUCCUCUGGCAGGCCAGCCCCAAGGCCAACCUCCCUGAGUUGGGAGUCAUACAGAAAUCCAAGGAGACUUGUAGCUCCUGGUACCAUCAAGGGAAGGAUUUGUGCAAGGGGUGCAUGCAAAGGUCAAAGUCAACAGACAAAAUUUGUUCUUUCUUUGAAAAGGGAAAAGAAGCACGCACUUGAGACAGGCCGUGAUCAGAGAGGAGCGCUGAAACCCAACCUUGGACCUCGUGGGUCGGGCACGGACAGAACCAGAUGGGGGCCCAUGUGGAACUUCCACCCCUGGCUUCUGCAGCCCUGGCAGUCCUGGGCUGAAACCCAGCAUCCCAGAACUGGAGACCUUCAGAAACCCUGACCCAGGGACCCUCAGGUCCCCAGCAUUCCUAGGACAGAACUCACCCGAUCCCAACCCACCCUCCCCCCGGGACAUUCCCCCACUGGCCUAUUUCCACCCACAUGACCCUGGACAGCCCCUUGGUCCCCGGGAGGAGGCCCCUCUCCUUAGGGGUCUGCUUCUGUUCCUGCCCAUCUCCUCUGCGAACUGGGCUGUGAUCCCCUCCCAUUCUACACCUAACACUUUCUCUGUCUUCUAACCCUCAGCUGCCUUUUAAAACAACCACACUCGGGUUCUUCAAAAAGACCCUCCCAGGCUCUUCCUGCCCCAAGCUCCUCCAACCCCCACUCCGGCCCAUGCGAUGACGCCUGGGGUGGUUGGGGGGCUCUUUGGGGACCCUUCCCUGAGUACCUGUCUUUGGGGUUAAGAAGUGCGCCACCCCCCACCCCAGGCUUCAGGCAGAACCCGGGCCCCCAGAUUCCAAAAGAGAAGACAGCAGAGCCCUGAAGCCCCAGAGCCACCUCAGGCCCACAAAGCUCUGCUCACAUGGCCCGGACACAUGGCACUGGAGGCAGGGAAGGGUAGCUCCUGACACAUGACUCUGCUUCCUCCGUCUCCUAAAGGCCGCCUGCGUCCACUCAGGGCCCGCGCUAAGAGCGCAGAGGUUGCCCCUGGGCCCCCUGGCUCCCUCCCUACCCCCUGUCUGUAGCCGUGGCUUCUGCUUCUCCGCCUCCCUGCCACCCGACAUCUGAGCACCCUGGGGCAUCGCUGGGCUGGACUAGAAC
ensembl:lncRNA